AUGAGGUUCCCUGCUCAGCUACUAGGGCUCCUCAUGCUCUGGGUCCAGGGAUGCAGUGGGGACAUUGUGCUGACCCAGACUCCACUCUCCCUGUCUGUCAUCCCUGGAGAGCCGGCCUCCAUCUCCUGCACAUCCAGUCAGAGCCUCCUACAUAGUGCUGGAGUCAAUUUUUUCAGUUGGUACCUGCAGAAGCCGGGCCAGUCUCCACAGCUCCUGAUCCAUGGGGGUUCCGACCGGGACACUGGGGUCCCAGACAGGUUCACCGGCAGUGGGUCAGAAACAGAUUUCACUCUUAGAAUCAGCAGGGUGGAGGCUGAGGAUGUUGGAGUUUAUUACUGCAUGCAAGCUAUAGAAGAUCCUCUCACAGUGGUACAGCCCUGA